GCACAAGCUUUUGGUGAAUCUAGAGAUGGACUCUAUCUAUUGCAACCUACCAGUUUUAAGUCUAGGGAGUCCAAAACAAAUGAUGUAUCUAAUGUUUCUACUAAUGGUCAUUUCAAUUCAGUUCUAGUUUCUUUUCCUUUUACUACAAAUACACUGUCAGAUGUAAAACUUUGGCAUGUAAGACUCGGGCACUUGCCUUUUCAAGCAAUGAAACAUCUUAAUUUGGUCUCUUUUCCGUCUAGUUUUGAUUGUUCUUGUGAUAUUUGUCCUCUUGCAAGACAAACAAGAAGCACCUUUCCUUAUAAGUUCUAUCAAAACCAAGAGAAUUUUUGAGUUGAUUCAUAUAGACAUUGGGGACCUUACAAGGUUCAUACACAUGAUGGAUAUAAGUAUUUCUUAACUAUUGUGGAUGAUUUUAGCAGGGGCACUUGGACCUUCUUACUCACUGCAAAGAGUAGUGCUUUUCCAAUGCUCAAAAAUUUCUUGGCUAUGGUUGAAAGACAGUUCAAUGUGAAAGUUAUGAGGAUAAGAUCAGACAAUGCUCUAGAACUUGGGAAGGGGUCUCUGGAAGCUAGUUACCUAAACUCUCAUGGAAUUGUUCAUGAAACCUCAUGUGUUGCUACUCCUCAACAAAAUGGAGGUGUCGAGAGAAAGCAUAGGCACUUGUUAGAGAUUGCCAGAGCUCUUCUUUUUCAGUCCAAACUUCCUACAUCAUUCUGGGGAGAAUCCAUUCUCACAGCCACACAUUUGAUCAAUAGAAUACCUUCUAGGGUCCUCCAAGGGAAAAGCCCGUAUCAGUUACUUUUUGGGAAAUUGCCUAAAUAUAGAUCCUUGAGAAGUUUCGGAUCACUAUGUUAUGCUUCUACUCUACAACAUCGUAGAAGUAAAUUUGAUCCUAGGGCUAAACCUUGUAUCUUUCUGGGAUAUCCACAAGGACAGAAAGGGUACAAAUUGUUGGACUUAGAAACCAAAAAGAUUUUAGUUUCUAGAGAUGUCCACUUUCAGGAGACCAUUUUUCCUUUUUCUACUUUUUCUCCUACCCCAGAGCCUAUUUUUCCCAUGCAUGAGUCAUCUUAUUCAGAUCUUACUCCUUCGAUCUCAGAAUCUGUAGAUGUCAGUCUUGCUUCAUUUCCUUCUCUCUUUGAGUCUGCCUCACCUCCCAGUCCUACCCUUGACACCCACUCUUUCCCCUUUCCUACCAUUCCUCCCAGGAGAUCAGAAAGGACAAGGAAAAUACCUGAUUAUCUAACUGACUUUGUUUGCAAUAACAUAUUUAUUUCAGAUGUCACUAGAACUUGUUUUGCAGUGCCUAUGCAGGCUUCUACUUUCUCCUUUGGGGCCUUAUCUAUGCAGAAUCAACACCUCCUAGGUUCUAUCAACACUAUCACUGAACCUAAAGGGUAUUCCCAGGCAUGUUUGCAUCCUGGCUGGAGGGUUGCUAUGGAUAGGGAACUCAAAGCUCUCAUAGAUAAUAACACUCAGGAAGAGGUUUCCUUACCUAAAGGACGAAAGGCUCUACCUUGUAAAUGGAUAUAUAAGGUCAAACAACACUCAGAUGAAACCAUUGAGAGACUGAAGGCAAGACUUGUGAUCAGAGGAGACAUUCAGAGAGAAGGCAUUGCUUAUAAUGAGACCUUCUCCCCUGUGAUCAAAAUGACCACAAUCAGGUGCCACCUAACCAUUGCAGUCAAGAAGGGAUGGUCAAUUUCCCAACUUGAUGUUAAUAAUGCAUUUUUACAUGGUGACUUACAAGAGGAAGUCUACAUGCAGUUUCCUUUAGGGAUGGAUAAGCCUAAUUCUAACCUUGUAUGCAAGCUAAGAAAAUCUCUCUAUGGUUUGAAACAAACUUCACAACAAUGGUAUGCGAAGCUUGCUGGGGCUUUACAAUUUAAAGGUUAUUCAGCUUCAUUGAAAGAUUAUUCCUUAUUUUUCAAAAAAUCAUGUUCUUCAAUUUCUAUAGUUGCUAUAUAUGUGGACGAUAUUCUCAUUACUGGGAAUGAUCCAUCAGAAUUUAUUCAACUUAAGGGAUUUUUGAAUUCAGAAUUUCAUAUCAAGGACCUGGGAGAACUACAUUACUUUCUGGGCAUGGAGGUAUUACGAGAAACUCAAGGUAUAAUUUUGGGACAGAGAAAAUUUACCUUCGAACUCGUAGAGGAGUUUGAUUGCUCACAUCUGCCGCCUGUUUUUUCACCUUUUGCUCCUUCUGAAAAGCUAUCGACUUCUGCUGGUCCUCUCCUGGCAAAUCCCACAAUGUAUCGACGGCUUGUUGGUAAGCUUAAUUACCUCACUCACACUCGCCCGGACUUGUCUUAUGUUGUGCUUUGUCUUAGCCAAUAUACGCAAACCUCGUGUGUUGGUCAUUAUAAUGCCGGACUCAGAGUGUUGCGAUAUUUGAAAUCUAAUCCAGACCAAGGUUUGUUUUUAAACGCUUCCUCCUCUUUGUCACUCAUUGCCUUUUGUGAUGCGGAUUGGGCCUCUUGUAAAGACUCGCGCAGAUCGGUUAGUGGAUUUUUCAUCAGUCUUGGCGGCUCACCUAUUUCUUGGAAAUCCAAGAAAUAAGCUUCCAUUUCCCUCUCCUAAGCUGAAUCAGAGUAUAGAUCGAUGUGUCGGGUUACUACUGAACUCACCUGGUUGACUCGAUUGCUCAAGGACCUAUCUCUACAACAGACUCUACCUAUUCCUGUCUUCUCUGAUAGAAAAGCUGUUAUUUAUAUUGCUCGUAACCCGGUGUUUCACGAAUGCACUAAACAUGUGGAACUUGAUUGCCAUUUUGUCCGACAACAAUUCCUUGCGGGCUUGAUUUCUUUAUCCUUCGUCCCUUCAUCGGCUCAGCUAGCUGAUCUCUUUACUAAACCAUUGGCUGGACCUUCUCACCACAUGAUUCUGUCCAAGUUGGGUAUCAGUUCCCUCCCCUCCAACUUGAAGGGGGGUGUUGAGUUUUAUAGUGCAUCGAAAUCAAAGAAGAAAGAAGUGAACGAUGAAGACGAAGUGAACAUUACUGAAGUUAAAACAUUGGGUCUUGACCAUAUCGAUAGUGGGCCUGCACAACAGAAUGGGCAGACAUUUAAUCAAAUAUAAAAAUCCAAUGAUGGCCCAAGUACAUAUAGAUACAAGCAUCAAUAAUUUGUACAUACAUUAGAUAUACUUAUAUACAUGAUAUAGUGUAGUAUCUUUCUGUAGAAUAUUCUAGAAUACGUAUAUGUGUACAAAUUAGGUAUAGGUCGGUUAGAAAACCUUUUUUUUAUUUACAGUUUAGUCCAUUGCAGAAUGUACAAAACCGCAUCUUUGGCUGAAGGAAAUAUGAAAAAGAAAAAAUUCUUGCGUCUUCAAAUUCUUUAAAGAUAUGCAUGUUUCUUUAAGAAAUUGAAGAAAAUGAUUUAAGUUUGCUUUGAGAGUCAAGAAUUGAGGUUGUUGUUGUUGUUGUGAAAGGAUUUCUCACAUACUACUCAAAACAUGAAUGUGACAGGGGUUUUCUAACAUGAAGGAUUCAUAGGGUUGAAAGACUUUCUCAACGUAACUUUUAAUCAAGAUUUUGGAGCUAUUCUAAUGAACUCUAGCUUGGAUUGGCUAUUUGAUUGUGCCUUUCCAUAGAUAAUAAGAUGAAUAUGACUAAUGACUAUUCCGUGGGAUUUAUGCUUAGCACCGAGUGUAUAUUGAGAUGGAGGCUCUCCCGUAGUUGAGGCCGUGUUUCUAAUAGCAAUCUCCCUAUCCCAUAACUAUGUUCCACCAUAGGUAAUCUUAGAUAACCAAUAGCUAGUGGAUCCACUUAAGCUAGAUGUUUAUGGUUCUUACCUUGGAAAGUAAGGACAUCUCUUUUCGGUGUGGAUAGAAAUCAAAUUCCAUGUUUGUCUCACAUGGUCUAUGUUGGUUAAUGGAAAAAUUCCCAUAAUAACGAACUAACGUUACUUCUAGAAGUAUCUCAAAUAUGUUAAAAUUGGUCGAUGGAGAAAUUACCAUCGAUUUCCAAGGCCUCCCAUGUUCAUAAGAUGGAUUUUUUAAAAAAGUUAUUAUUUGAUUCAUAUUUAUUUAUUACUAAAACUUUUACUAAGUGUCUUUACAGGUACCUAGAGUUGCUUCCCAAUGAAGCUAUUCGAAUGAAGUUCAAACAAUAUUUUUGAUUCAUUAUAUAUUGACGUUAGGCAAACACUAGACCGUUUCUUGUAUUAUUAUUUUACUUUGUGACUUGUGUAUAUUACAUGUUUAUUAUACUUGUACAAUGUUUUUAUCUCCUCCUCAAUUUAAAAAAAAAGGAAUUCAGUCGGGACCCACAUUUGUGGAUUUUGAAGGAUGCCUAAUACCUUCUCUUCCGAAUCACUUGAACCCUUACCUAGAAUAUAUUGGUAUCGUAGACAUUUCUUUCUUUAUUAAUUAAUUAAUUGGUUUCCUAGUUUUCCUAAAAUUAGAUGGCAACUCCCUUUUAAAUUUAUUCUUUUAUUCAUUAAAUUCUUUCUUUUAAAAUUAAAUUAAUUGAUUAUAUUUUUGUGAGUCACCACGACGUUGUGCCUUCAGGAUGUCAAUAAUAGUUAUCACUCCAACAUUGAUAUAACACUAUUUGAGGCACUCUGUGGGAGGGGAUGCAAAUCUCCUAUAGGUUGGUUUGAGGCUGGGGAUGUGAAACCAUUGGGUGUGGAUUUGGUUAGGGAAGAUUAAGAAGGUUGAGGGAGAUUCAAGCUAAGUUGUUGGUAGCCCAGCAUAGGUAUUAAGGACAUGGCUUUUCAGGUGGGUGAUCAAAUUUUGUUGAAGGUGUCACCUAUGAAGGGAGUCAUACAGUUUGGUAAGAAGGGUAAGCUUAACCCUCGUUAUGUUGAUCUAUUUGAGGUUCUUGAAGGUGUGGGACCAGUGGCUUGCAAGUUAACACUGCUGCUCAACCUGUGUGGGUUCAUUAAGUACUUCAUGUUCCUAUGCUAAAUAAGUAUAAUAUGGAUGGGGAUUACAUCAUUAAAUGGGACUCAAUAAUAUUGGACAAGGACUGUAGUAUGAAGAGAAAUCGAUUGCGGUUCUUGAUCGGCAUGUCCGGAAGCUGAGGACAAAAGAGAUCAAAUCAGUAAAGGUUUAGUGGAAACAUCGUUCGGUGGAGGAAGCUACUUAGAAGAUAGAAAGGGAUAUGCGGGACAAGCCCUCACUUGUUCGAAAAUUCAAGUACUACCUUUUUUUCUACUUUAGCCCAAUAUUCUUUAUUUGAUCACUCGGGGAUGAAUGAUGGUUGAAUUGGUAUCUAUUGGAAUGAUCUGAUUUGGUCAUUAUAAGUAAGCCAAUAGCGAAAGAAUUUUGGCAAGAAAACUUUCCGAGUAGUGACUUAAAUUUUUUUGGCUAGCCCAGCCUUAGAUAGAAUAUAGGCUAGGUGACGUCUAGGGUAAUCCAGGAAUGGGUGGGAUAUGACUUUGAGGUUUGGUUGAUAUAGUCUUGUAUCCGAUUCAUUAAGGAGUCUAUAAGGCCUUUCAGAAUUGAAUUUGGAUAAGUCUAACUCUCGAAAUGGAUCUUGGCGUUAAUGGUAUGUGUCGAGACAUCUAGGGAAGAGUUUCUGCUGUAAAAAUACCUUUUUCUGGAGUUUGAGUUUCUAAACUUUCAUCGAUUUCGCUAUAGCAGGAGGUGUCCCUCAAUAAAAGAGUGUGCAGACCGCUAUGACAGGGUAAGUUCCACUAUAGUGGCGCCGCUGUAGUGGGCCAAAACGAGAUUUAUUAUAGAAACAACCCCAAAACCCCUAUUUUCUGCACUUUGAGUUGUUGGACUUGUGAGGGGCCAAUUUGGGCAAUUUACACUUGUUUUUCCAUGGAAUUCAUCGGUAAAGGUAAAAAAAUGACUCCCCAACCUUAUGCAUUGGUUCUUAAGCCUUAUAAGCUAGGUUAUUUCCAUUGAGGGGAGGUUUUGACAUGAUUCCAUGGUGGAAAAAUCCCUAAGUUGGGGAAGAUGAUCAUAUUUUGGCAUAGAGUUAGGAUUUGUUGAUGAUUUGAGUUAAUUAAUAGGUCAUUAGUGAUUGAUUAUUGUUUAUAUUGUUUGUUUUAUAUCAAGAACAAGCCAAGGCACUUCGCAAGGGGAAAUCUCAAGUUAUUUAGAGUUUUCAAGAGGCUUGAUUUGAGGUAGGUGAUGGUUGUAUAUUUUCGGUUUAUGUAUGUAUGCAUGUUUAUUGCUUUGUAGUAUCAAUGCAUGACAGGGAGACAUAUGAUAUGCCUUCAUGUAGGUAAUCUCAUGCAAUAAACUUGUGGUUUCAAGUGGUUUUGUUCAUUUUUCUAUGUGAUUGUGCAUGAUUGUUGGUUGUCUCGGGUACCACGCUAGCAGGGGCGGACCCACAUGGAGUCCGCUAGGUGCUCGAAUACCCAUUAACCUCGUCCGGGUGCUCGAGCACCCAUUAACCUUGUCUCGAAAUAUAUAUAUAUAUAUAUAUGUAGAAAUUAAGAGGUAUUUGUAUAAAAUUAACAUAGAGCACCUAAUGAAUAAAUGAUCUGAUUGGCCCAUUGGCUCUUGGGUAGGUGCUUAAGACUCUUUUUAGUGUUGUUGAACCAGAGUUCGAAUCUCAUUGUUAACACGUAUUUUUUAUAUUUUUGACUUCGUUACUUUCAGAGCACCCACAACCUUAAAAUCAUUCAGAGUUCGAAUCUCAUUGUUAACAUGUAUUUUUUAUAUUUUUGACUCUGCUACUUUCAAAGCACCUACAACCUUAAAAUCCUAGAUCUGCCACUGUCAGUACACCAACUGCAUAUGGCUCAGGUACCAUGAUGGUACACUAACUAUGGAUGGACCGGGUACCACGCCGAUACACUAAAAUUUUGGGUUUGGGUUCUGUGAGGGCACCAUGUAUAUAAUUAUGGUUCCAUGAGAGAACCGUACAUUUAGAUUUGCGAUCAUGUGGGACAUGCAUCCAGGUAUUAUUGUCUCACGACAUGUGAUUGAGAGUCUAUGUGGUUUGUUACUUGUUGUUAUAUGCAUUAUAUUAUGUUAUUGCAUCGUAGUAAACUGUCUAUUUCCAUAUCUUGGACUGGCCAUGUGAUCUUACCAGUGUACACUAUGGUUUGUGUACUGAUACUGCACCUGUUCUUUUCCUUGUUGAGCACAUGACAUCUUCCGGCGCCUGAUCCAAGACUUAAGUUGAGAGAUACUUGACUUUGAAUCUACCAUGGAUUCUUCUACAUAUUCUUAUCCAUUUGCUCGGACAUUGACUUAUAAACUUUAGUUUAUGCUUAGGUUUGGGGUUACAUCCCCAGUUGACUAUUUAGAGUUUUGGUAUGGUGACUUUUAGUUUUUAGGAGUUAUUUCUCAUUAAAUGUUUUUGAACUAUGGAGUUGAGUUUAUGGAGACUCAAUUCUUAGUUGUCUAAACUGCUCUCAUUGAUUUAUAUGAUGAACUUUUCUUAUUUAAAUGGUGUUGGGUUGGUUUCAAGUUAGUCAUUGGUUCUCCCAUCAUGUGGUUUAGUGUUGGUGUCACUCACUACGGUCGGGGUCUUGACAUUGAGGUUGUAUCCCCUUAUUCUAAACAACUACACGACUUUCAGUUUCUAGGGGAUAAUUCCGCAGUGUUGAUGACUAUGACUUUUGUUUUAUUGAAAAUUUGAUUUUUGGAAUUAUGAUAGUAAUUAGUUGGUCCUCCCACGUGGGUUAGUGUGAGUGUUGCUCACGAUGGAUUGAAGUCAUGACAAAGAAUCUUUGGAUAUAUUAAACAGAUCCUUACCGAAUUAUUGAAAGAAUCAAUUAGCUUGCAUUUCUCACGAGUAUGAUCCUAAUGAGCCAAUUUGGAAAUUCACAAUCUCUGAAAGACAAGUGGGAGAAAAAAAGAAAUAAUAACCAAAAUCAAGAAAUCUAGGUUUUUAAAGACUUAUCCUAGACCCAAAUUAAGUUUGAUAAAUCCUAGGUCUAAGUUUUCUCGUUUUUCUCCCAUGGAUAAGCUAGCUAAUUUUGUGGCUGGAGCUAUAUAAAAUAUCUUAACACUAAAUGUCAAACCUUUUGGUGAAUUUAAAACUUAUGUAACCUUUCAAUUUUACCUAAAUGUGAAACCUUUAUGUGAAUUGGUUUGCUUAACUGAGUAAUUCACAUGCAUAAUUAAUGAAUUUACUUGCGUAAUUGUCUCUUAUUAACAAGCAUGACUUUGAAAAGUAUAAUUGUUGACUUUUACAACCGUGAAAAUUUGAAUGGUAACGAAUACGACAUCUAAAGUCAUACAAUAAGAUAUGUAUUCUAAGAGAAAAAUGUUCCUUGAAGAUAUAAAUCAUGUUUUAAGUCAUAAAGAGAAUAACUCUACAGAACACAAAAGAUUUUGAAACUUACAAAGUGUGAAAAAAGAAAGAUUUUGCUGCACGUAGAAUCAUCGUAAGUUAUGUUCUUGAUGACCUCAUUGAUGAAUGUGAGAUUGCUCAUGCCAUGUAGGCACACUUGCGAGAGACAUAUGAGGGGACAUAUGUGACUGCCUUAUACAACUGACUAUCAAAUUUGAUACUUACAAGAAGCAUCAUGAUUAGAAUAUCAAACUAUACCUUAGGAUGAUAUCAAACAUGAUUACUCAACUCAAAAAUAUUGAUCAUAUUCUCUCUGAUGAGCAACAAGUUCAGGCAGUAAUCCGAUUUUUUUCAAUAGUUGAAAGAUUUGAAGGUUAACUUAAACCCAUAAUUAGGGUUGUUCAUGGUUAUGGUUAAAAGACCAAAUCGAACCGCGAUCAUAUCUUAACACUAAAUGUCAAACCUUUUGGUGAAUUUAAAACUUAUGUAACCUUUCAAUUUUACCUAAAUGUGAAACCUUUAUGUGAAUUGGUUUGCUUAACUGAGUAAUUCACAUGCAUAAUUAAUGAAUUUACUUGCGUAAUUGUCUCUUAUUAACAAGCAUGACUUUGAAAAGUAUAAUUGUUGACUUUUACAACCGUGAAAAUUUGAAUGGUAACGAAUACGACAUCUAAAGUCAUACAAUAAGAUAUGUAUUCUAAGAGAAAAAUGUUCCUUGAAGAUAUAAAUCAUGUUUUAAGUCAUAAAGAGAAUAACUCUACAGAACACAAAAGAUUUUGAAACUUACAAAGUGUGAAAAAAGAAAGAUUUUGCUGCACGUAGAAUCAUCGUAAGUUAUGUUCUUGAUGACCUCAUUGAUGAAUGUGAGAUUGCUCAUGCCAUGUAGGCACACUUGCGAGAGACAUAUGAGGGGACAUAUGUGACUGCCUUAUACAACUGACUAUCAAAUUUGAUACUUACAAGAAGCAUCAUGAUUAGAAUAUCAAACUAUACCUUAGGAUGAUAUCAAACAUGAUUACUCAACUCAAAAAUAUUGAUCAUAUUCUCUCUGAUGAGCAACAAGUUCAGGCAGUAAUCCGAUUUUUUUCAAUAGUUGAAAGAUUUGAAGGUUAACUUAAACCCAUAAUUAGGGUUGUUCAUGGUUAUGGUUAAAAAAUCAAAUCGAACUGCAAUCCAAACCAAACCGAUUAAAAAAACCGAUAUUUGGUUUGAUUUGAUUUUAAAUUUUUAAAAACCGAUACUAUUUGGUUUGGUUUUGGUUUUACUAAAAAAUAACUGCAAAAAUAACCAAAUCGAACCGAUAAAUUAUAUAUAUAAAUUUUAUAGUAAUUAUUUAUAUAUCAUUCAUAAAUAAAAUAUAAAUAUUUUGUUAAAUUUUAAGUAACUUAAGUCUUUAACUUUACCAUUUUCUCAAGUCCACCACUUAAAUUUUAGUCCAUCUAUUACAUUUUCUCAAGUCCAACACUUAAAUUUUAGUCCAUCUAUUACAAUCAUAAGUCCAAGUCCAUCAAAAUUCAUUACUUUAGUCUCUACCUACCAUACCUUUCAUAAGAUAGUUACACAUUCUCUUAAUUAAAUCACUUUGUUCGUGUAAUGAUAACUUUAGUAUUGUUUAAUUGCUUAAUUGAACCGACAAUAACUUUACAGUGGAUUGCUCAUAUACUAGGUGUUUAUGUCUAUCAAGAUACGUAUGUCCGAAAAAAUUUAUUGCUUUCAAACUGAAAAACCUAGAUAAACUUAACCAAACCGUCAAUAACCAAACCGAUAGUUAUUUUUUUUCGUUUGGUUUGGUUUUAGAUUUUUAAAAAAUCGACUAAUUGGUUUGGUUUUGAUUUUAACCAAUAAAUGAUCCAAACCGAACCACGAACACCCCUACCCAUCAAAAAUAAUUCUGAUAUUGUCCAUCAUGUUGAGCUUGAAGACAAGUGGCUUGGUGAUGCUAAAACUAUAUCUAGUGCCUAUGUGACAAUAUCAAGCGAUACAAAAUUUUCAAGCUUCAAGCAUAUGAAAAGUUAGAAAAAUGUUAGAAAGGGAAGGAGACUAGAGAAGGAUCCUCCAAGAAAAAGAACAUGCCAAAGUUCAAGAAGGAAAAAUAUUUGUUCGAGAAGAAAGACGAGAAUAAGAUAAAGUGCUACAGCUGCCAUGUAUGGCAUUCCAAAAUGCAUCUCUAAGUGAUAUAUAUGUUUCUAUCACUGCUUUACAAACUGAAUCGUAUUUUAUGUGGAUUGUAGACUCAGAGGCCACCGACCAUGUGAAUAGUGAUCGAGAAACGUUUGUGGAGUUCUGUCGAAUCUCACAUGGAUCAAAGUGAAUAUAUGUAGAAAAUAAUGAAAAACUUGGAGGUAAAGGGAUAUGAACUUACAAAAAUGGACUUGUGUAGUUGUCGAUCUUUAAUAUUGCAUAACGACCUAUAUGCUUUAGAGAUUCGACAAAACUUAAUCUCUUUAUUUGCUCUUUUAGAUCUUAAUUUCGAUUUAAAUUUUAGUUACAAUGAUAAAUAGAUGCGCAAACGCAGUACAUAAGAGAUGUAAGAGGUUGGGAGAGGUAGAAGAAUUAGAAACUAAAAAUCAUUGCAUCAUUAUAUGUAGUAGUUUUGACUAAUAAUUAAAUCUUUAUUGGAGUAGGUUAUUUGCACAUGCAAGAGCCAAUAUAACACCUUCUAGAUGAUUUUUGUUAUCACCCAUGACCAAUGAAAAUUGGAAAAUUGUACUUUCUUCUAAUCUAUCUAAUUAAAUUAAAUUGCCUUAAUAGACCUCUAUCUUAAAUUAGUAUUGAAAUUUCCCUAACUUUGACCACUACAAGUCAUCUAACUCGGUUUCAAUAAUCUCAAUUUUCCUUCUUCCUCACUAUUUCACUCUAUCAUCCAUCCAUGGAUUCCACUUUACAUACCUGGAAUCCAUAAACCCUAAAUAAUUUCUCAAGAAAAUUCACACCAUUUUUGUUAUACAAAACACCCAUUUUGGGUGUAUUUUUGUUAAAGAUAUAUUAUGUAUAGAUCGGGAGCUGUAAUGGCAUGGAACGUGUUCAGGUUCUGUACUGCCUUGCGAGGGCUUGGUUCGAUCAUGAUCCUUUUGGUUUUGGGUGUUGUUGGAGUUACCUAUUACGCCGUCGUUUUAACCAACUAUGGUCCUUCCCUUACCAGUAGUGGUGGUUUCCUCGAUGUCCUCAUCGCUCUUUCAGUACUUGUAUUAUUCCAUUGUCUGGUAAUUUCAUUUUCUCCCAAAUUCUGGUACUUUGUUUAUAAAAUUUGAUGAUUUAUGGGUGUUUGACGUAUUUCCAUUUUUUGAAAAUUUAUAUUUGGGUUUUUAUGGGCGGUUCAAACAUUCAAUUGUAGGGAAUUUGUUAAGUUGGACCUUGGGAAAUCGAAAGUAGUUUUUUUUCGAAUCCUGUGGAUAAUGUGGAUGAUGGCUUCAAUAUUAAGUAGACAGAUUACUGGAGAUUUUAGAAAGAAAAGUUUGAGAGACUUCAAAUUCAUCUUGUUAUCGAGUUCUGUGUCAGAGCUGAGUGGGACUAUGGAUGGAUUGGAAGUUAUAUUAAGUAGCUAAAAAGUACAUAUUUGUGAUGAUUGCAGUUGGUGAUGCUUCUGUGGUGCUACUUUUCUGUUGUUUUUACUGAUCCUGGUAGUGUGCCUCCAAAUUGGAGACCAGAGUUGGAUGAAGAAAGAGGGGAAGCUGAUCCGUUAACCACAUCAGAAUUCGGGGCUUCGCCAGCUGACUCAGGGAAUACCAGAAUACGUUUCUGUAGAAAGUGCAACCAGUUAAAACCUCCUCGAUGCCAUCACUGUUCCGUUUGUGAGUUCUUGUUUUUUUUCACCUAAAUGAUGAUUUUGAUUAAAGUUUUUUCGUUUGAGAUUGAGUUGUCUGCUUCCCUGUUUUAGGUGGAAGGUGUGUGCUAAAGAUGGACCAUCAUUGUGUGUGGGUUGUCAACUGUGUUGGAGCAUUAAACUACAAGUAUUUCCUUCUCUUCCUGGUAAGUUAUCAUGAUUCUUGAAUUUUGAGUAGUAUUGGCUGCUAGAUUCUGAACAUAUUUAUAGCGUCAACAGAUGACGAUAGCUUUCCUGGAUACAAGCAAUGCCAAUCUUCCUUUUCUUGGGAAUCUUCACUAGCUCUAUGGAUUUUCCCAUCAGUGACCCUAUGCUCCAAGACCCUACUCUCAGCCUAAGAGACCCUUAACCCACGUACCACUCCUUCCUCUUACCCCUGGCCCCGACCGAGGACAAAAUAUAAGGGAAGUAUAACUAAGAAGGAAAAAUAAUUUUUUUAAUGAAAUUUGCACAUGGUAAGCAAGGACUGUUCGUGACAAACACUUCCUUUCUUAAAAUUGGUUGGGUUGCCCUAGAAAGGGGAGUACUAACACCACUUAGAAGUUGUUCGGAUGGGGGAUUGUGUACUAGGAACCCCACAAACGUUAAGUGUCUUUUUGGAAAUCAAAGGCUAGUUUAGGCGGUUUUUAUCUAUCCUACUCUCCAGAGUGCUUCUCCACCACUCAAGCUUUUGAUGACACUUCGUUGGUUUCAUCAAUUCGCACUUUAUUGUAAGCAAUUAACAUACAUAAUGGGAUAUUAAAAUGUAUUGUGUUAGUUCAUAUAUAACUAGUGUAAAUAAGUACAUGCUUAAUGUCGAUCUCUAUGUUAACUCAUGGUUGUGAAAAUUGAAAACUCCUUUCUAUCUCCUGGUACUACUGCUCUCACACUAGUGAUGACUUCUUAUAAUUAUUCGUUAUGGGAUUUAUAUAUUUAAUAUAAGUUCCCUUCUUCCCCAACACCCACCAAAUGACUUUUGUUAGUACUAAAUCAUAUGCUUUCUAUAAGGCAAUGAACAACAUGUGUAAAUCUUUCUUCUCGCGAAUUUCUGCUAAUCAGUCCUAACAAAAGAAAUACCAUCUGUUGUAGAUCUAUCUGGUAUAAAUACAAUCCAGUUUUCUGUUACACUUGUAGGGUCCCUAGAUCUAUGCUCUAUCACUCUUUUCAGCAGUUUCAUCUUAUUGUUGAUAAGUUUAAUGCCGCGAUGCUUCACAAAAUUUUGAAAAUCUUCUUUGUUCUUAUGUAUUAGAAUAAGGGUACUCUUCCUCUACUCAUCAAGCGUUCUACCACUUUUUAGUAUAACAUUAAAUAGUUUGGUAAGUCAUACUUCUCCAACCUCUCCAACAUACCUACAAGCCUUUAUGAGGUUUCCGUUGAGACCAUAGGCUUUCUUAAUCAUAUUUUUCAUGGCAAUGUCUACUUUAGACUUGUUAAUUCUAAGAGCGUAGCUGAAGUCUUUAUCGUGUACAAAUAUUUGGAGAUCUUUAAGCUUAUCCUCGUGAUUCGAGUUGAACAAUUGACCAGUCUCUUUUUUUUUUUUCUUUGUUGAUGACAAGGGAAACCCGCAGCCGCUACCCUUUGGGUGCACACAGGGUAAAACCCCCGCUCCUAUGCCAUAGCUCGCAAACCACAUAGGAGAGGUAACCUGCACUAGGCAAGCCCGGCACGACGAGCUCGACCCAGAAGGCAAACCCCUUGCUUUCGUUGGCAAGGGGUUUCGAACUUGAGACCUCCAACAUGGAAGUCCCAAGCCCAAACCACUGGGCCACCUCGAAGGGUUGACCAUAGUCUCUUCUCCACUCCUUGAUCUCAUUAUCUCUCGUCAAAACUUGUUGAGAAUCAUUUUUAAUACACUUCACCUAGUUUAACCGUUUAAGUUCUUCUUAUUCUCUCAUGCGUGCUAAUUUGUACGUUUCUUUCUCCUCUUCUCGUGUCCCUAGCUUCUGGUACAAGCCAUCUCCAUCUGGGCUUCCCCACAAGUUAUGGCCCUAUUAGCUUCCCUCUUAGCUCUAUUAUAUUCUUCAAAGGAUACGUAAGCAACCUAUGCCUAUAUAAAUACAUUUCCUCCUCAUUUUAUGAGUCAUAGUUUUAAUUGGUUAUAAAGUUUAAGACUGUAAACAUGACUUUUGAAUCUUGUGGUCUGAGACGAGUAAAGGUGUAUAAAACAUGCCAAAAUAGUACCCUUCCAGUGCCCUUAAACAUCCCAUGUCAUUCUUAUGAGGGAUUGUCGUUAAGGAUAAAAUGAGAAUGUUGGAAUGGAAAACUUCCUAAAUGUUGAAUAAUAACAUUCUUUUUUUUUUUGGUCAUCAAAAGAUAACAUUCUGUUUGUAACAGGAAUGGAAAACUUCCUAAAUGUUGAAUAAUAACAUUUUUUUUUUUUUUUUGGUCAUCAAAAGAUAACAUUCUGUUUGUAACAUACUAAAUAGGAAAGUAAACACAUAAAUUUAAAUGGAGAGAGAACAACAUUAUAUUUAUAUUUUUCGACGAAAUAGUCUCUUCAGUGGGUAUGUUGUUGUUGUUGUCUUAAAAGUCUCCUAUGUUAUUAAUUUCAAAAAAAUAAAAGUCUCCUAUGUUAUUGCUCAUAUGUCAAGUGGAGUGAUUUUGAUGUUCAUAUAUAUCAGUCUUUGUCUUAGUAUAUUGUUUUUUUUUGUCAGUUCUUUUGAUAUUUUUUGGGGAUGAGUGUCACACAUGGUUCUGUUGCCUUAGAAAUCAUAUCCACCCAUGAGACCUUUGCAAACCAUCAUUAUCUCCUAUGUACAAUCAGAGACAGCCAAUGUUUUUAGUUUAUGCGUUCUAGACAACAUUUUAUUUUGCUUGCUAGGUUCUGAAUAAAUUAUUUAUACAUACUAAAUGAAUUUUUAACUCAAAAUACAGGGUUUGAGUCAAAGCUACAGGUUAUACGGAGCUAUAGCUAGUACUGUGGCUCCGCCACCGUGUACAAUCAUAGUAGGAGUUUCUUGAAUGACAUGCUGCUAGUCAUGCAAGUACCAAUACUAAGCAACUGCGAUAUUAGCACUAUCCCUGCAUACAGUAUCUGAACGACCAUAGUGAUUAUUGUUUGUAAGGAACUUAUUCUAAUAUUGUUUCCUAUAUGAUUUUAUCAUUUUCCAAAAUUCAUCUGGCUAUUUCUGUGAGAGUGGAAUGCAGUUUCCUUAGAGUAUUGCAAGUGAUAGUUCAUAUUGAGAAUUUUCUUUUUCCAUGUUCUUCCUCCUUGUUGGUGCCUGUCAAUUGAUGUUUGUAUGCAUCAUUAUGCAUGCAUGAAUACUUAACAACAAUUGUCCUGGUAUUUUCGUCGCAUUGCUGUAUUUUAAUGACGGACUUUUUCUCAACUAAUUAAACCUUCUCUUACUGCAGUUCUAUACGUUCCUUGAGACCACUGUUGUCACUUUAUCAUUACUGCCACAAUUUAUUGCAUUCUUCAGUGAUGGAGAGAUACCUGGGACUCCGGGCACUCUUGCGACUACUUUCCUUGCUUUUGGUAUGGUCUGGGGAUUGUCUUGGUGAACUUGCUACCUGUGAUUUCUUUAUGAAGACACUGGUUUUCUUAAUUUUUCUACAUUUCUUGUGCAUCGCAGUCUUGAACCUUGCUUUUGCUUUGAGUGUUUUGGGAUUUCUGAUUAUGCACAUGUCGUUGGUGUCUGGUAAUACCACGACCAUUGAGGUACUCCAUUUUUCUUAUUCCUUAAGUUGAAUGGUAAAGUGUUUUCCUUUCUAUGGAACGCCUGGUGAUCUGAAACAUCAUUUGUACUGUGCAAACAGCUCUUUAGUCUUGAGGCAAAACCAGUUUAUAGAACCUUUCUCUCUUGGUCUUUGAUUUGGAAAAGUAUCUUUCUUUUUUGCGCACAUUUAAUGGCUCGUCUUACUUUCAGGCAUAUGAGAAGAAGACCAGUCCUAAAUGGCGUUAUGAUCUUGGUCGGAAGAGGAAUUUUGAACAGGUUAGAUGACUGCACAAGAUUGCCUUAUUUAUUAUUUAUUUCUGAUGGUAGGUUGCUUUCAGUAUGAAAGAAAAGAUAGAUGCUUCUCUAAGUAAUGCUGCGCUCUGAUCUAAAUUCUUAGGUAUGAAUAUUAUAAUAAGUACCAGAUUUAUGGAGUUGAUUUGGAAGUUAUGGUUUGAAUGUGACACAACAAAAAACAUAAGUUAGAUAUGAAAGAGAACUUCCAAUUGCAGCUGGCACUCAAUGUUUAUUCUGAGAUAUAAAUACUUGGAAGCUAAUUUAAAUGCCCAUGGUAAAAUAAAAGAUUAUUGAAGAACCUAAACUUCAUGGUAGUAGAGAAUGGGGAAACAAGGAAGCUUCAUUUACAGAUGGUGGAGUAGUGCAAAGCAGUGUGGAAACGAUAUGCCAUGUACAUAGGACCUUGAUAUCAGGCGCGUUUAUGAAAAAUGCUACAUCUCAUAGCAAUGAUUAAUUGACUAAUGUAGUUUCAUGAUUGAAAUAUAAUCGUUGUAUAGUGGGUAGAAAGAAAUUUGCAAUUUCUGUUGCUUUAUCUUUACUUUCUAGUUUUACCCUUUUUUUGGUCUUGAUAUAUGCUUUCAUCCUCUUUAUGAUUAAGAAGCAUACAUUAAACCUUCAUAUUAGAUGCCACUUCAAUACAGUGUUUGCAGUUAUUUUAUGAAAUAAAUAAAAUGAGAAAUGGUCGGUAGGAGGAUAUGUUCUAACAGAAUGAUGUGUUUGCUACCUCACUACCUCCUUACCGUUAUAUCUUUUUCACUUGUUACAUGACUUUAUCCGGUUUACUUGAUUUGGUUUAACAUUGAUUAUUAGUCUACUUCUUUUUAAAGUAAAUAUUUUUCUUUAGAACUACAGGAACAACACAAAUAAAACCACUUUUGUAUGAAAUAUCAUGAAAAUCGUAUAAGAAAUGAAAUAGGUCGUAAGUAAUAUUCUUUUUGCUUGAAUAAUAAAACUUGAAAAGUAACUAGGCCAGUAGAAUAGGGUGAAGGGGGGGAGUAAAUGACCAAAAACAUCCCUUAACUUUAACCCAAACUUAAAAACAUCCUUAUAUUGUAUUGUAAUAAUGAAUAAAUAGCAUCUUGAACUAUCCUAGAAGUUUUACAAGUUACAAGUUACAAGUUACAAGUUACAUACCUCUCUUAGUUGUCUGUGAAAAACUAACAGCUUCAAACAGAAAAUGUGCCUUUGCAUGUGACUUAUCCCUACAAAUCUACCAUUAUUGUCUCCUCUCCUUCGCUUCUUCAGCAAGGAGCGGAAACAUAAGCUAGCUAGUUAUUGACGUUUCUUUCACUGUUAUCAUUUGGAAAAAUAUAGACAGGAAGAAGUGGAAGAUAAAUAUUCUAGUCCUGCGUAUAUAAUAUAUAUAGGAUUUAUAUUUUCCUUUUCUUUUAGAGUGUCAUGUAAAAACAUUUUUUCAUGUUUCACUAGACGUUAAUAAAAUGAUCUGACAAAAGAAAAAGACAACAUAUUUUUUUAUAAGUCAUCACCUUAGGUUGUGAGCUUAAGGUGUGGGAGUUUGGCUUGACCCCUACUAUGUUAUAUUAAUAGGCAAAGAACUUACCACAACUAGAGGGGAACAUGAAACCUUGCCUCAAGUCUACAAAAGUUAGAUUGAAGGAAGGAAAUAGCCCAUAUAGAAUUUCUUCCUGUACAGACCCAGAAAUACAUUGACUAAUAAAUUUUUUAUAUUUUUCAAAUCUCCUUUGAGAGGUGGGUAAUUUCCAUUUAUCAAGUUGAAGCAGAUCAUUUGCUUCUCUGAGAAGAUAUAAGCCCCUAUUGCCACUUGUAACAGCUAUCUUGGCGAAAAAAAUCAGUAACCUGAUUAGCUUUUCUCUAGCAGUAAGUGAAAAGAACCUUAGCCCCUCUUAAAAUGUUUGAGGUAGCUUUCAAACAAUGUGCUCGAAUUUCAAGUUGCAAGAGUCUUCUUUGAUCAGCAUAUUAGUUAUCACUAGAGAGUCAAGUUCAACGUGAAUUUUAGAAAAGCCAUUUUGGAUAAAUCUACUGUUGGUGUUUAUGGAAAAUGGAUAGUUAUUUGAGGUCUAGUGGGGUAAUUAGUAGGAUAUAAUGUGGAGAACAUGUCAUAGUGGUUACAUGAGUUACAAAGAAUAAUGACACUACUUUCUCCACUAUAUACCCAUUGAUUAUUAUGCAUGUUAAUAUUUUUAUUUGACGGUUAAAAUGAGUGGGGGAAUAUUGGUGUUUAUGUACAUUUUAAUGUUAAAUAAAAAUAUUGAAGUGCAUGAUAGUUAGUCGGCAUAAAGUGGAAAAAGUGGUGUCGUUCUUAGUUGCACGGACUCUUCACUUUUGAUGCUGCACCCGUGUCAGACUCUUCAAAAAUGCACUACUUUUGGCGAAUCCGACACGCACCCGUUGAAAUUUUUGAAGAGUCUAAGCAACAUAGGUGUCAUUAUUCUUUGUAACUCAUGUAACCACUAUGACAUGUUCUCCACAUUAUAUCCUACUAAUUACCCCACUACACCUCAAAUAACUAUCCACUUUCUUGACAUUUACUUGUGCAAGAAAUCCACACAUUUAUAAAGGAUGUUUCUUCUUUGUAUUUUGAUAUAUAUUUGAAAAAUAUGAGAAGUGGAUGAGAAGUAUUAUAUUGUGUUUAUAUUUUGAGGUUAGUGUAGUGAAAGAGAGUUGAAUGAAAGAAAAAUAUUCUAGCGUUUGACCAUGAAAACAAAAAAAAUCACUUUAUUUGAAAUUUUUGAAGUUAGAGUUAUGUUUGGCCAUAGUUUUUGCAGUUAAUAUUUAGAAUUUAAAUGUAUUUUCUUAAAUAUAAAUAUUAUUUGAACAUGGAAUAUAUUUUAAAUGAUGUUAUUUUAUGAAUUUUUUAAAGAUUUUUUUGAAAAAACUAAAUUCAAAAAAUGGAAAAAAGUAAAAAGUGAAAACAAGGUUUUUGUUGUUUUCCAAAUUUCAAAUACAACUUCAAGUUGUAUUUGGAAUUUUUCAUGGCCAAACACUAUUUUUCAAAUAAAGUGAAAUUAUAUUUUGGGAAAAAGUGAAUAAUAUUCAUGGCAAAAUUCUCUCCAAUUUACUCACUAUACAAAAGAGAGUAAUUUUAUGUAUAAGGAAGUUGUUCUUUUGAUGGAGCUUUGGACUCUACAACAGUUCAACUAAUUCAGACUUGUUUGAGUUAUACUGUAUACGACGUUGUUGGGUUGUUGCAUCCUAAAGGGGAUAAGUUGUCACGACCCGAGACUACCCCUUAGUCGUAACAUAAUUUUUAAAGCCACAAGUGACCCCAAGCUAACCCAUGGUCUGUCAUGACAUUAAGAUUCAUAUAAAUAAUCACUGGAAAUAACUUAUGUAGAAACUGAAUCCAAAAGGGACAUAUCAAUCCAAAACACUAAAUGGAUGAGUGUAGAGUAUCUGAACAAAUCAUAAAGUUGAUACUGCUCUUUGAUUGUUUGAUAGCCUCUACUAAGAUGAGUUGCUAGGGCAAGCCCCCCAACUAACUCUAAUUGUCUACUAAAUAACGAAAAUAAGAUAGAGAAUUGUCCUCGGAAGAUGAGGGCUCACCAAUACUGCUAUUGAGUUGAUCAAAAGUAGUACUAACCGCGAGUAGGAUGUUGAGCAUUUGAACCUAUAUAUUAUAAAACAAUAUGGCGUAGAGAGGUAUGCGGUCAAUACUUUGAAUGUACCGAGUAUGUGAUGCAUGCAUCACAAGUCUUGUAAACUUAACAUGAUAAAUCUAAAAUGUUGAACUAAAAUAUAUGAACUGAUGCAAUGACCAAGUAAAUCAACAUGCAACUAAUAAGUACUGAAUUGAAAUAAAUUAAUGCAAGGUCAAUGCAAUUAUGUGAGAGUGAACUGUGGGAGAUACUAAUAAUUGAUAUACUUCGUCUGAGCUAAAUGGAGUCCAACCUGGACCCCAGCUGGGAGCGCUUUGUACCUUGCCAGGGUAUGAAUACUGUCUAACGUGGAUCCACUAAGUUGAUGUCCAAAAUGGACUAAGGUGUUAGUCCUGGUCUGAUGGGUGACCCUUAAAAACCUACGGUGCCACAUAGUUCUGGGGCUUAGGAAUUGCUACUAAAGGUCUCAGUCCUAACUGAUGGGUGACUCUUAAAACCUAUGUCUGCUUCGUGCUAAGUAAUACCCCCAAUUGGCUUUAUGCUUACAAUAUGAAAAUACUAAUAAUACUGAAUAACUCGUAAAUAUUAAAAAAUUGUUAAUAACUGAUAAGCACUAUCUAAAAGCAUCUCUAAGCAUGAGGAACUGAUAAAUUGAGUAUAAAGCUAAUCAUGACAAUUCCUAUCUAAAAGCAUCUCUAAGUCUGAUGGGUGACCCUUAAAAACCUACGGUGCCACAUAGUUCUGGGGCUUAGGAAUUGCUACUAAAGGUCUCAGUCCUAACUGAUGGGUGACUCUUAAAACCUAUGUCUGCUUCGUGCUAAGUAAUACCCCCAAUUGGCUUUAUGCUUACAAUAUGAAAAUACUAAUAAUACUGAAUAACUCGUAAAUAUUAAAAAAUUGUUAAUAACUGAUAAGCACUAUCUAAAAGCAUCUCUAACCAUGAGGAACUGAUAAAUUGAGUAUAAAGCUAAUCAUGACAAUUCCUGUAUUAUGAAGGAAAUAUGCAAUUGAAAACAACACAAUUCGGAGGCAUGAAAUAUUUGUAUUUUGAGGGUUUAUGAAAAUAUACUUCAAGUAAAAUACUGUAAGUUAUGGAGAGACAUGUAUUUUUCAACCAAUAACGAAGAGAACUGAAAUACAUUGAAAUCCAUGCCGAUCAUACGAACCCUAGGUUUUCAUAGAAUUUUAAUUACUGAAAUACGAAGGUUUCUUUGGGACUCAAUGGUUGAAAGGAUAUCCAUUGAUGAAAUCCCACAUACUUGGAAUGGAAACACCUAAUGGAAUUCUUGAACUGAAGUUUGAAGACAAAGAACCCUAGUUUCUUGCUUGAGAGGACUUAAGAGUGUAAGUGAUUCUGCUUUUUCUGGGUGUAAAGUGGGGAGGUUUAAUCGACUAACUCCCCUUUUCCCCCACUUAGAGUAGCCCAAAACAUUGUGGUCUAGGCAUAGGAAGAUAAGGAAAGGACAAAAAUACCCCUCAAAGUGAGUUUUGAAAUUUCUGGAACCAGGUUCCCACGAGUUACUCCUCGACUCGUGGUCUGACACUACGAAUUGCGAACCAGGUUCACGACUCGUACUGUCAGUCGUGGGAACCUUGGUGCAUCUGGGGUCUCUAAAUAUUUUCACGAUUGAUAGUACAAAUCCUAGACCUGGUUCAUGAACUCGUACGGUCAGUCGUGGGAGCUGGCAAUCUUAGGACCUAACCAUGGCUGAUGGUACGAAUCGCGGACCUGGCUCACGACUCGUAUUGUUAGUCGUGGGAAGCCUCUGAAUGUUUUCAUGACUGAUGGUACGAAUCGUGGACGUGGUUCAGGACUAAUACUAUCAGUCGUGGGAACUGAGCUGAGUUAAUCCCAUGAUUGUGUUCACGACUCGUGAACCAACUCGGGGGAACUGGUACUGAAAAUUUUUGGGCUGGUUUGUCUAUGCCAAUUAACGAGUAAUCUUGGGUUCGAAAUGCGAGGUGUUACAUAAGUCAACAGUUGUACAACUUGAUCGGUGUAGAUUAUAACGCAGUGGGCCUGAAUCUUCUUAAAGAGAGCGAGUCUGCCUCAACCUGAAUAUUAAUUUAUUCAUUUUUGUUUAUUUUAUUCAAUUGUAAUUUGUGGUAUAUUUAGCAACACCAUCUACUCCCAGAAUUAUAGCACCUAAUAUGUCAACAUGAUUAUUACUGAAAUAUUUAGCUAAAAAAGGCCAUCGAAAAAUCUCCUUGAUCAUUUCUCACUACUCCGCCCAUACAUGUCUUUUGAAUAGCACUAAUAUUGCUAUAAGGAAUACAUAUUUGGUGAGAUUAAUUUAAGAGAUGUGCAGAUUAACAUGAAAAAUAGUUUCUUCUCUUUAAAAUAGAAAUAUUUUUAUAUAGCUUUUCUCAUUUAUAUUAUUUCAAUUUUAAUGUUUAGAUCAAGUAAAUAUAAUAUUGUGGGUUAAUGAGAUACAUAAUUUGUCUUUUACAACAAUAACAAUAUAUUGUAUAUAAUUUUACAAGUAGGUAUGAGAAGGGUGUUGUGUAUGUAGCUUUACCCCUAUCUUGUAAAGUUUUUUAUAAUUAAUAGUUUACCUUGUUUGUAAAUGAAAUGAGAUACAUAAUUCGUCUUUUACCUUUAUAACUUGAAGAGUUCUAUAUAUUAUCAAUAGUUAUUCUCUUGGAAUUCAUAAAACGAUUUAAAAGUUUACUAAUAAACCAAUUAUUCAGAUGUUGAAAAUAACAAAGGUAUAGAACUUCAUCCAAAAUCAAAGGUAUAGAUAUCCUUAUCAUUUUUGGCAAGAAUAUUUUUGUGUUAGUGUUUUGUUUCUACAACUGAACAACAAUGUAUUGAUUUGAUAUUAAGGUUAAGGCAUGUGCUGAGUCUUUUUAGCGUUAGCUCCAGCUUCCCUGUCCCAAAUGGCAUACCAUAGGGAAGGUGACAGAAGUGUUGGAUUUGUGGGGUAGUCAUGUGCUUCUGGUUGAACCUGUUAUUUCUUUACAUAAAACUAACGGAGGGACGUAAUUUGUAAGUUUUGGGAUAAUUUAGGGAUGCUUUUUGUUUAUUGUGAUUGGGCAAGGAUGUAGCUUAAGGGUUGGGUAUAAUUGAGGUAUGUUUUUGGCCAUUUACUCGCGAAGAGGGCAAGUAAUAAUGCAUUUGUUUUUUUUUUUUUUUUUGGAGAACACGGGAAGACAAUUUUUAGUCCAUAUUUUCUUACUUAGUUUUUAGUAUUUUAACUAUUCGAGUAGGUAAUUUCGAUGAUUAUGUGAAACAUCUUGAGUAGGCCUUGUAUUAGUAAUAAUGCAUUUUUUUUUUUUUUUUUUUGGAGAACACGGGAAGACAAUUUUUAGUCCAUAUUUUCUUACUUAGUUUUUAGUAUUUUAACUAUUCGAGUAGGUAAUUUCGAUGAUUAUGUGAAACAUCUUGAGUAGGCCUUGUAUUGAGGUGAAAUAUGUUUUGGCUUAUUUAAAGUAAAAGUUAGCAAAUCACAUUUGUCUUGGUGCUUCGGUUUUACUAAAAUGUUAUUUUUUUCUUAAUGCUCAUUCAGUUUGGAGGGGAUGUUACAACUAACAGAACGAAGUAUUCGACGUUCUUUUCUAUUUAACGAGGCUCUUAAUCUGAUAACAGGGUUUUCCAUCGUAACAAAUGAGGUUUUCAAAACCUUGGUAUUACCUUCAUAUGAUAAAUACACAAGCAAAGCCCUACAGCAUAUACUGAAGAUAUUCAGCUACUACCUCACUGAUUCUCUACUCUUUAGUUUCACUUCCAACAGAUCACAACCAGCCAUUUUGCAACUUAAUGCAGUCCUUCAGUUUUCUGUGUUACAAUUUACUCUUCUGUCGAAACAAUGUGACAUUGUAGGGCAACUUUUUGUAUGAAUCCUUCGUAAUUACACUGAACAUACUAAAUGUACUGGUCAGAUCUAUACAAGUGUGUCAUAUUUGUAGACCAUUUCUAUUCUCCGAUGAUGCUCCUCUACUGUCUACUCUCCCUUGUGUUCCCAAAGCUCUUACCCCACGCUGUUUAACACCAAUUCCUAUGUAACUUCAUUUUCAAUGCCCUUGUUCCCGCAGUGUUGUAACUUUGUUCUCAGAAUCCAUGUGGGGUCUCAUCAUGUCUACCAGCAACAUCAAAAAAUUCUCUAAGCCAACAUUCUAGUAUGCUGUGUUUGGUUCUUUACUGAUACAAGCUUUACAAAGAACCUAAUCAAGGAAUAGAAUAUCAAAUCAAACUUCACACAGAAAUACAAGGAAAAGACAGUCCUGAAAUUCUCGUGCCUGAUCUGCCAUUAACUGGAAGUUUUUAUCUUAAAAAGAGUACAGCUUUGGUGUUACCUUUUGCUAUUUUGGUUAUUUAAAUGAAGAAACGUGAGAAAGCUAUCACAUGCCUGUCAUUUUUCAGUUAUAUUUUACUGGUUAAUACGCUGCUGUAUAAGACCCAGUGUCGGACUGGACUACCCAAUAAACUUGGAGUACUUUCUCAAGUUUACUUGUCUCGAGAAAACUUAUCAGGGCACCAUUUGGAUUGGACUGCAAAAACUAGUUUUGAAUAUGACAGCUAAUUACCUUUGCUUGUCUUGCCUAUGUCAUGUUACAAGUUGUGUUAGAUCUGUUUUAUUUUCAUAAAAAAUGUUAGAUCCCUUUCAGUUUACCAUUCUAAGGUUGUAUUAUAUGAUUCAGGUGUUUGGUUUGGACAAACGGUAUUGGUUCAUUCCUGCUUACUCUGAAGAAGAUUUAAGACGGAUACCUGCUCUUCACGGUCUUGAAUACCCAUCGAAGCCUGACCUUGAUGCCCAAGAAUAAUCAUGAUGUGCAUACCGAACAUAAGUUUCGUUCUUUGUAACAAAAUAUACAGUGCCUCACGAUUUCAACUGAUUAACCGGCUUUAACUACAUUGGACUGGACCUUUGCAUCUACUCGUAUUACGCAGAGCAACACCACAAGAAUAUGAAGAGUCUGAGCAGGCGAACAACUUGUGGAUUGGAGCAAAGGCUGGCAUUUCGUACUACGUUGAUUAGUCCAUUUCAUGAUUUUUAGAUAUCUAUGUGAAAUUAAUAUUCUGUUACAUAAAAAUGAUGCUGAUUUUCACGUUUAACAGCAGUGUUCUUGUAAUUGAUUACUCGAUCAGAAAUGCAGAUUAGAUCUCUGAAGAUUCUCCACCCGAAAACAUUGAUUUCCUGAUAAGAGAAGUGCAGAUCAAAUCUGUGAUGAUUUUUCGUUGGUAUGAUAAGAGUUUUAAUUGUUCGUAGCUUCGUUGAAAUGGUGACUUUGCCAUCAGGAUGAGUUAUGAGUUCUGUUCUGGUGGGGUUAUUUAUUUUGUCUCAAAUACACUGGAGGAAAGUAUACUAUCUGAAAUUUUGGAUCAUAGCCAUGCCAAUGGAAGUCCCAAAUGUUUUUUUGACAAUAGAGGGUUCAUAAUUUAACUCUUAUAUUUGCUCAAUAUUGCCAAAAAUAAAGUAAUAUACAUCUCUCCUGAAAGUUUUGUCAUACUCAAAUGAAGGUUAGCAUCAUGAACAAAAAUGAACGCAUGGGGUAGGAUAGUGUUACAAUACCACCUAUCAUUUUGAAUAGAGGUGAACUCAAAAUUUGAAGAUCAUUGAGAAGGGUAUCACUAUCUUUAACAUAAUCAUGUCAAUUAUUAGCUACAAAAUUUAGAAUACAAGCUACAACUCUCUUAAACUUGAAAAUUGUGAACAAUUAUGAGCAAAUUAUUAACUUCAAAAUGAUCGAACGUAAAAUUAGUUUAGUACUAAUAUAACAAAAGUAGAUCAUCCAUUCAUACUUGACAUCGACACACUUUCAUAUUUUGAAAACAGGCAAUGAUAGUAUCAUUAUUUAUAUUUACAAAUAUGUCCUUCUCGAUGUACAAGCUAAACAAUCACAUCGUUCCUUUCAUAACAGACAAAAAAUACGCACUACGCAAUAUAAAAAUCACACCCUAAAAGAGAACUUACCAAUUUGCGAACAAAAAUAUAAUCUUGAAACAAAAAUUGUUUAGCAUAAUGAAAUUUAAAGUAAUAUGAUAGUCUUGUACUAUGCAGAUUCUGUAAAUUCAAAAUGGUCAAAUGUCAUUAAUUUAGUACUAAUAUAACAAAAGUAGAUCAUCUAUUCAUACUUGACAAGACGUGCUUUCAUAUUCUGAAAAACGGUUAAUGAUAUAGUAUCAUUACUUAUAUUUACAACUAUGCCAUUCUCGAUGUAACAAACAAAAACAAUCACAUCGUUCCUUUCAUAGCACAAAAAAAAAAA
rnacentral:lncRNA from 1 species